UGGGCGGUACUCAAGUGGUCGACGAGGGUAGUCUCCAAAACUACUAGCGAAAGCUCACUCAGGUUCGAAUCCUGACCGUUCAG
rnacentral:tRNA from 1 species